rnacentral:lncRNA from 1 species
CCCUCGUAAAAAUUAUAUUAAGUUGUAAUGUCAGUAUUCACUUUUAAAUUCUUAAGAUCAAUUGGUGUCGAGAAAAAUGUGAUUGGUGAUUUUCUAAUUAGGUCCGUAUGCUGGCCUGACCAACUCUGUUGGUGUCUAAGAAAAGCUAUGGGGAGCCUCCCACCUACUUACCUGGUCAAUUUGAUCUUGUUAAAUUUCAGACUUAGAUUGAUUAGUGAUGUAGACACUAUAAGAACCUUUCUUCAAACUUCAUCGAUAGAGUAUGUCAAAAUCUUAGUGAGCUUGUUGUGCUAUCCA